CCCCUAGUAACUGCGAGUGAAGAGGGAUGAGCUCAAAUUUGUAAUCUGGCAGUAUCUCACUGUCCGAGUUGUAAAUUCAAGAAGUGUUAUCCGUGUUGGACCAUGCACAAGUCUCUUGGAAAAGAGCAUCAUAGAGGGUGACAAUCCCGUCUCUGGCAUGGACGCCCACCACAUUCGUGAUGCACUUUCAAUGAGUCGAGUUGUUUGGGAAUGCAGCUCUAAAUGGGUGGUAAAUUCCAUCUAAAGCUAAAUAUUGGCGAGAGACCGAUAGCGAACAAGUACCGUGAGGGAAAGAUGAAAAGAACUUUGAAAAGAGAGUUAAACAGUACGUGAAAUUGUUGAAAGGGAAACGCUUGAAGUCAGUCUUGUGCUUCAGAAAUCAGCAGGACUCUGUCUUGUGCACUUUCUGUUCCGCAGGCCAGCAUCAAUUUCAACGACUAGAGAAAAGCUUUGGAAAUGUGGCAUCUUCUAUGGUGUGUUAUAGUCCUUGGCUGUAUGUAGUCGUCGGGAUUGAGGCUUUCAGCUCUCGUAGCUGACAAGGAUGCUGGCGUAAUGGCUUUAAUCGACCCGUCUUGAAACACGGACCAAGGAGUCUAACAUACAUGCAAGUAUUUGAGUUGUAAACUCUUGUGCGCAAUGAAAGUGAAUGUUGAGAACUAUGUCAAAAGUAGUGCAUCAACGCCCGGUCCAGACCUUCUGUGACGGAUCUGCGGUAGAGCAUGUAUGUUGGGACCCGAAAGAUGGUGAACUAUGCCUGAAUAGGGUGAAGCCAGAGGAAACUCUGGUGGAAGCUCGUAGCGAUUCUGACGUGCAAAUCGAUCGUCGAAUUUGGGUAUA
rnacentral:rRNA from 1 species